GACGUUGUUGGGGUCCGCAGGGAUGCCUCCGUCACGCCUCUCAAUGUACCGCGCCACGUCCUCCCGAAUCAGCUGGAUGCCGGAGCUGACGCUGUAGGCUCCUGGACUCGGGCAGGACAGGAUGGGAAGUACAGAUGCCUGGAGCAAAGGGGAAGGGAGGGGGCUCAUGGACCCUCCCUGCUCAGAGCUCCCCCUGCUCUACGUCCCUCUGUGUUAAAGGUAAAGGCCCUACCUGUGCUCAGGUACCCUCUCCUCCCAAGCCACCUGCUUCCCUCCUUAGCAGUUCUGCCCUCCUCACUGACCAAGACA
rnacentral:sRNA from 1 species